rnacentral:rRNA from 1 species
CGAACGCUGGCGGCGUGCUUAACACAUGCAAGUCGAACGGAAAGGCCCCUUUGGGGGUACUCGAGUGGCGAACGGGUGAGUAACACGUGAGUAACCUGCCCUUGACUUCGGGAUAACUUCAGGAAACUGGGGCUAAUACCGGAUAGGAAUCCUUGCUGCAUGGUGGGGGUUGGAAAGCUUCGGCGGUUUUGGAUGGACUCGCGGCUUAUCAGCUUGUUGGUGGGGUAGUGGCUUACCAAGGCUUUGACGGGUAGCCGGCCUGAGAGGGCGACCGGCCACAUUGGGACUGAGAUACGGCCCAGACUCCUACGGGAGGCAGCAGUGGGGAAUAUUGCACAAUGGGCGGAAGCCUGAUGCAGCAACGCCGCGUGCGGGAGGACGGCCUUCGGGUUGUAAACCGCGUUCAGCAGGGGCGAAGCUUGUGGUGACGGUACCUGCAGAAGAAGCACCGGCUAACUACGUG